rnacentral:rRNA from 1 species
GACGAACGCUGGCGGCGUGCCUAAUACAUGCAAGCCGAACGGUUUAGUUCCAAGAGGCUUGCCUUUUGGAACUAGACAGUGGCGGACGGGUGAGUAACACGUAGGCAACCUACCUGUCAAACCGGGAUAACCUCGGGAAACCGAAGCUAAACCCGGAUAAGCUCCUUUUUCGCAUGAAGGGGGAGUGAAAAGGUGCGACCUGAUGACAGAUGGGCCUGCGGCGCAUUAGCUAGUAGGUAGGGUAACGGCCUACCUAGGCGAUGAUGCGUAACCGACCUGAGGGGGCGUACGGCCACACUGUGACUGGGCUACGGCCCAGACUCCUACGGGAGGCAGCAGUAGGGAAUCUUCGGCAAUGGGCUAAAGCCUGACCGAGCGACGCCGCGUGAGUGAGGAAGGCCUUCGGGUUGUAAAACUCUGUUGUUUGGGAAGAAGGGAAAGGGUAGGACCCUUAGGUGACGGUACCAAACGAGAAAGCCCCGGCUAACUACGUG